rnacentral:rRNA from 1 species
UACGUAGGGCGCAAGCGUUGUCCGGAAUUAUUGGGCGUAAAGAGCUCGUAGGUGGUUUGUCGCGUCUGGCGUGAAAGCCCAUGGCUUAACUGUGGGUCUGCGUUGGAUACGGGCAGGCUAGAGGCUGGUAGGGGCAAGCGGAAUUCCUGGUGUAGCGGUGAAAUGCGUAGAUAUCAGGAGGAACACCGAUGGCGAAGGCAGGUCUCUGGGCAUUAACUGACGCUGAGGAGCGAAAGCAUGGGGAGCGAACAGG